CUAAAUCAUAAGGAAGGUUGUGUAGAAAGCAGCCAAAGAGUAACCUGAUGCUGGUAUAGAUGACUAAAAAGAAAACAUGAAGAAGUAGGUCCCUGUGAAGAUCUUUUCAAGGUGUGAAGCCUAACCUCCACACAGAAAUUAGUGGAUCACUGCCCAGCGAGAAAAGACAGACCAAACAGACCUCUGCCAGGGAUGUUGGGCUCAUCUGAAACAACAAAGAUCAUAAAACACAAGACAAAGCUCUGAGCCCAGAGCCUGCCACAGGCCACCUCGCACCCCAAGGCCAGCAGCAGUCCUUGGCCCUGCUGUGCCCAUGCUGUCUGUCUGCCUUGCUCCUGUGGAAGGAGGAGGCAUUAUCAGAAGUAAUGCUCAUGACUCUGCUUUCCUAGUGGAAUAGCCGAGCUGCAUCGUGCUCGCCCCACCGAGCACACAUCGGGAGAGACAGAACACAAACGGACACCCCUCUCUCCGUUCUCU